UGUGAGCUGCUGUGGAGAAGGCUCUGUCCCCAAAACUCCAAAAGUUGGACUUUUGGAUGCAGAGGAGACCGACUGAGGUGGAUCUGAGGGACUGUGAGGGUGGAUAGGGGGAGAGGAGGUUGGUGAUGUAUGAGGGGGCCAGAUGGUGGAGGGCUCUGUAGGUGAGGACCAGGAUUUUGCAGGUGAUCCAGUGGGAGAUGGGAAGCCAGUGGAGUUGUUUCAGGAAUAGAGGGAUGUGGUGCCAGGGUGUGGGGCGGGUAAUAAGGCAGGCGGCUGCGUUCUGGACCAGUUGGAGUUGGUUGAUAUAGGCAGAGCUGAUGACGAGGAAAAGUGAGUUGCAGUACUCCAGUCGGGAGGAGAUGAAGGCGUGAAUGAGUCUUUCCCCAGCGGGGGGUGUGAGAGAGGGUCUGAUUUUGGCGAUGUUGCGGAGCUGAA